AACGCCGCGUGAACGAUGAAGGCCUUCGGGUCGUAAAGUUCUGUUGUCAGGGAAGAACAAGUAUCGGAGUAACUGCCGGUACCUUGACGGUACCUGACCAGAAAGCCACGGCUAACUACGUGCCAGCAGCCGCGGUAAUACGUAGGUGGCAAGUCGUUGUCCGGAAUUAUUGGGCGUAAAGCGCGCGCAGGCGGUUCCUUAAGUCUGAUGUGAAAGCCCCCGGCUCAACCGGGGAGGGUCAUUGGAAACUGGGGAACUUGAGUGCAGAAGAGGAGAGCGGAAUUCCACGUGUAGCGGUGAAAUGCGUAGAGAUGUGGAGGAACACCAGUGGCGAAGGCGGCUCUCUGGUCUGUAACUGACGCUGAGGCGCGAAAGCGUGGGGAGCGAACAGGAUUAGAUACCCUGGUAGUCCACGCCGUAAACGAUGAGUGCUAAGUGUUAGAGGGUUUCCGCCCUUUAGUGCUGCAGCAAACGCAUUAAGCACUCCGCCUGGGGAGUACGGCAGCAAGGCUG
rnacentral:rRNA from 1 species